rnacentral:rRNA from 1 species
GACGUAGGGGGCCAGCGUUGUUCGGAAUUACUGGGUGUAAAGGGUUCGUAGGCGGUGCGGCAAGUCGGGAGUGAAAUCUCUGGGCUUAACCCAGAGGCUGCUUCCGAAACUGCUGUGCUUGAGUGUGGGAGAGGCGCGUGGAAUUGCAGGUGUAGCGGUGAAAUGCGUAGAUAUCUGCAGGAACACCCGUGGCGAAAGCGGCUACCUGGCCUGAUACUGACACUGAGGCACGAAAGCGUGGGGAGCAAACAGG